rnacentral:lncRNA from 1 species
AAGUUUAAUAUCGACCAUGAAAAAACACAAGCCAACCUAAUAUUUCAUAUGUGAUUAUGCCAUUUUUUUACUGAUUUUCCUUGUUGAUAGGAUAGAGAGAAAACCAAGAGAUGGAAAAGGGAACCAAAGAAACUUGAAACUUUGGCAAUUACUUCUUUGCAAACAAAAUAAACAAAAAGAAGCAUCUGGAGAAAUUACAUCCGAUUUUUUGUGCAAAAAUUAUCGACGACUUAGGAACGGUCAAAUUUGACUGCGAGAGAAGAAAGAGAGAAGGGAAAAGAAAGAAAGAAAAUGAAGGGAGUAGAAAAGUAAGGCCUGGAUAUAAUUAUAGUUUGUUUUGAAAAGUUUUUCAUCUUCAGUUUCAACAGUCAAACAUAUCCAGAAGCUUUUUAAAUAGUUUUAUUCUAAAAUUAAACUUUCAAUUAUUUUUAAGUACAUUAUUGACGUUGCACACGGAAUGCCUCAUGGGAAUUGCAUGUAAAUGAGUUAUAGAUUUGUGAAGGGUAAAAUGAAGUACUUUCAUUUUAUUUUUCUGUAGUUGGGGACGAGGGAAUGGACUGUGGGCUGGGUCCUUAGUUAUCGAUCAUGGAUAUAUACUUUGCUAUGAUAGACACAUAUUGGUAGAUUAGUAGUGGCCCCCAACUUCCCUCGGGGAAUAAAAGGUCUAACCUGGCUGCCCGGAUUUGUCCAACCUUGCUUUCACUGUCUCGCCUGGGUGAAAGGGCGUAGCCUUUUUGUCUUGCGCUAUAAAAGCCGUGAGACCUGAGUUACCCUUCCUCUUUGUCUUCGGAAGUUUACUAUGAUCAGGGCCGGCCUUGUUUGUACUCCUACUACUUCAUGGAAAUAGCAUCUCAAUCACAUUGUUAUUUUGGAUAAUUUCUUUUAUAAAUAAAAAGAAAAAAAUGAAAGUGAACUUUUUUACUAUUUAAUAUAAAAUAAAGAAAAUAAAACAUUAAUUCAAAUGUAAUUGAUUUCAUCUAAAUUUUUGUUCUUCACAAUAGUAAAAUUUUAAAUUUUUUAAAAAAUAUUUUUUAUUUUCCAUCAAAAGCAUAAAAUCUCUAAAAUCUUAAAACAGAAAAAGGUAUUUCACGAAUGAAAAAGAAAAAAAAAAGAAGAGUAAGGGUAAAAUUACUAAAAUCUAAAAACAGAUAAAAUUAUUACUUUAAAAUUUCAAUAUCAAGGUUUUUCAUGUCUAGUCUUUCAGAUAAUCUAUUACUUUGUCAUAUAAAAUUAAUUUAUUUUCUAGUGGUUUUCAUGUUAUUGUUUAGGUUGCCGCUUUUUGCAACUUUUUUUUUUAGUUUCAAGUCUGACGUAGAUAAAUUGGAUGAAGAAAAUUUUAGUUAUUAUAAUUAUUAUGGGUUGAGAGUUACUUCAGGAGAGAAAUUAGAGUUAUAAUUAAUUUUUGGAACAAUGGAAGAAUUUUUCAAUGAUCAAAGAUCAUGAACUUCCGUGAAUUUUGUUGUGUUUUUCUGCUGAUUUUGAUGUUUGCUGCUUAGGUUGAUGUUGUGGGAAGAUUUGUAGCUUGUUUUCAGCUGAAUGGAAAUUUGCAAUUAUAUAUAAAAAAGAAAAAGUGAAAACUUUGUGUACCAAUAAAUGUCGUAAAUUUUUUGGUGAAGUAUCAAAUGGCUCUGGGUUAAUCUGUUUGCAGUGUAUACAUGUUGGGAGGGAUGAAUUAGACGAGGAUCAUAGUUGUAUUCAUAAUAUAAGACAGUCCCUUGUCUUUUAGAACAGGGCAUAUUUGAUGUUUUUGAUCGAAUUCAAGUAUGUUUUUUUUGCAUCUUGAAAACAUGAAAGCAUCCCCAUGGAGGUUUAUUUGGUAUUACCAUAAAAAUAAACGUGUUAAACCAGCUUCACAGUUUGGUAUUUGAGAUGUUUUAUAACACGUAUGAAACUGAUUUGUUGAAAAGGAUAUUGAUUGUAGGUGUUUGUGAUUUGAGACACAUGGACAAUGAGCAUAUCAGAUCUGUUAUGUCUAUCUUAUCGAACUGGAU